ACGUGUCUAAUAAGAAAACUGCAGUGUUUCAUUAAACUUUAACAUUUUGGCCUCAUCUAACCCUACGGCUGCAAGCCUGCAACGAAGAACGUGGAAACGGCUGUGUUCAUAAGCAGAGGAGGAGAAGAGGCUUCGAUGGACGACAAAUCAGAUCUACUCCAUAUGCAGAUGGCUCAUCUGCCGCUGCGUCUCUGGCUUCGCCGCUGCGUCUCAGGUGAAUCUCACGAAAACUUAACCGAAGGCGUCAAUCUUAAACCCGUUUCCUUCAUGUCUCAGCUAAAUUAUAUGUUGUGGGUAUUCUUUAUCGGAGAUGAAAUUCGUAUAUCUACUUCAGCUAAUUCUUUCAACGAACUCCUCCAACGCCCAUGAUCAUCUCAAGGUAAAACCUUUUACUCUAUCCUCUAUCUCUUGUAAUCUAUCUUAUCAGAGCUUGAUGCGCGAGCAUCACUGAGAGAAACGCAUAGAAGAUUGUAGAGAUGAAAAAUUGAAAAGAUUUUGAAAGAAGACUCUUAUCUGUAAAUUACGAUGACUCAAUCUCCAAAUUAAAAUGGCAAAACCUUCUUUCAAAGCUGGUAAACAUCCUCUUCACAAAAUCUAUUUUCAGGAUGGCUUUACUUUGGCUUGGAGAUACAAUACUGCCACUACGUUUUCAUCCGGCUGCGUCACUUACGGACCACACCUGUAGAGUUGUUUCUUUAUAUGUUGGAGCUAGCAGACUCUUUUCUGGUUCCGUGGACAAUUCUAUAAAUUAUUUGUUUUCAAGAACAACCAGCUAGCUUUCGAGUCUGCUGCGACGGAUCUCCAUCAGCUGCAAACAACGUGUUCACCCUAAUCGCCGUUAUCAUAUUUUAUGGGUUCUUGAUCACUCCUUACCGCAGAUUCAUCACCGUCAAAGCUAUUUUUAUCAAUUUCACAGUGAGACGACUUCACCAGAAUGGAUUUGUACCGAAACAACAUCUUAACUUCUGUUUUCUUUUUUUUUCUCCCUCUGGUUUAUCUGUUCUUUGCCGGCGUUUGUGUUAUGGUAAAGGGCUUGGCGGAAGUUGCUUAUGUGAAAAGAAGUCUGCAUAUCAAGCUAUGAUGAAAUACAACAAUGUACAAUUAGCUGAAGAUCAUGUAGCUCACCGCCAUGCCCGUGCGUUGGAGCGUUCACAGAUUUUCAAUCAGACUACAACUGAGCUCUCUAUUGAUGAGAAAGACAAUAUCUAUGAUUUUGAGAAGACUUAUGAGAAUGAUGAGGACCAGAUUGAAGCUUUGAGUUAGGACAGAGGGAAAGAUGGAGGAUACUUUUAUGUCGAUGAGAAUUUUGUAGAAAAUUUUAAAGACAGGAAGUCAAGGUGCAGAUCAAACAUUGGUUUAGCGUUUUAGAAACGUGAGCAAGAUCAAAUGCAAAACUUGAAAGAGACUCAGCGAUUGCAAGUGUGGAAAUGGGCACACAGCUUCAAGACUCUAUCAGUAAAUGUAUACAAUAUAUAAGGUCAUUUGUAAUGCUAUCCACCGGUCGCUUACGAACCUAGGCCAAGCCAACAUCUGUAUAAAAAGAGAUAAGCUGAGAGUAACAGAAAGUUGAAUGUCUCAUAAAUAUGUUAUCUUUUAUCUCUUCGUUGGUUAUUUAUUGAUGUGAUCUAUAAAUCCAUGUUCAUUGUCGA